rnacentral:ncRNA from 1 species
AUUUACAGGGCAGGGUGCGAUUCCCGACCGGCGGUAUAGCCCGCGAGACCUUUGGUCUGAACCGAUGAGAUUACGGUGCCGACAGUAAAGUCUGGAUGAAAGUGA